rnacentral:tRNA from 1 species
GGCGGUGUAGCUCAGCUGGCUAGAGCAAACGGUUCAUACCCGUUGUGUCAGUGGUUCGAAUCCACUCACCGCCACCA